AUUGAACGCUGGCGGCAGGCUUAACACAUGCAAGUCGAGCGGGGUGAUGGUGCUUGCACUAUCACUUAGCGGCGGACGGGUGAGUAAUGCCUAGGAAUCUGCCUGGUAGUGGGGGACAACGUUUCGAAAGGAACGCUAAUACCGCAUACGUCCUACGGGAGAAAGCAGGGGACCUUCGGGCCUUGCGCUAUCAGAUGAGCCUAGGUCGGAUUAGCUAGUUGGUGGGGUAAUGGCUCACCAAGGCGACGAUCCGUAACUGGUCUGAGAGGAUGAUCAGUCACACUGGAACUGAGACACGGUCCAGAUUCCUACGGGAGGCAGCAGUGGGGAAUAUUGGACAAUGGGCGAAAGCCUGAUCCAGCCAUGCCGCGUGUGUGAAGAAGGUCUUCGGAUUGUAAAGCACUUUAAGUUGGGAGGAAGGGCAGUAAGCUAAUACCUUGCUGUUUUGACGUUACCGACAGAAUAAGCACCGGCUAACUCUGUGCCAGCCGCCGCCGUAA
rnacentral:rRNA from 1 species